AACGAACGCUGGCGGCAUGCCUAACACAUGCAAGUCGAACGAGACCUUCGGGUCUAGUGGCGCACGGGUGCGUAACGCGUGGGAACCUGCCCUUAGGUUCGGAAUAACUCCCCGAAAGGGGUGCUAAUACCGGAUAAUGUCUUCGGACCAAAGAUUUAUCGCCUUUGGAUGGGCCCGCGUUGGAUUAGCUAUUUGGUAGGGUAAAAGCCUACCAAGGCGACGAUCCAUAGCUGGUCUGAGAGGAUGAUCAGCCACACUGGGACUGAGACACGGCCCAGACCCUCCGGGGGGGGAGAAAGGGGGAAGUUGGGACACGGGGGGAAGGCUGAAGCCAGAAGGCCCGGUGAAGGGUGUAAGGCGUGAGGUUUAAAAGUGUUUUUAACCGGGGAUGAAAAGACAGUACCGGGGGAAAAAACCUCGGCUAACUCCGGG
rnacentral:rRNA from 1 species